rnacentral:rRNA from 1 species
GGGUUGUGAGGUUAAGCGAAUAAGCGUACACGGUGGAUGCCUAGGCAGUCAGAGGCGAUGAAGGACGUGCUAAUCUGCGAUAAGCGCCGGUAAGGUGAUAUGAACCGUUAUAACCGGCGAUUUCCGAAUGGGGAAACCCAGUGUGAUCCGUCACACUAUCAUUACCUGAAUACAUAGGGUAAUGAAGCGAACCGGGAGAACUGAAACAUCUAAGUACCCCGAGGAAAAGAAAUCAAACGAGAUUCCCCCA